CAAGGGACCGUGCUCAGACAUCUAUGUCAAUUUGGAGGUCACUCUGGAGGUAUACACCAAGCCAUUCAGCUUGCUUCCAUUGCCUGCGGUGGAGAAACCAGGCAACUUGCUGAUGCAAUGCUUACUGGACAGGCUUGUUCCAAUGCAGGGGGAGCAGCUGCUGAGAGACUACCAUUCCUGGGUUCAGCAGCAGCCUGAAGCUUCUUCAUGAGUUAGAGGGCGACGACCAUCCUAUGGCUUGAGCACUUCGACGGUCAGAUGGCGUCAAAUUCAGAGCUCCGGGAAAGAGUUGUGGGGAUCCAUGUUGGGAUGGUUGAUGGGAAAAUUGGUUGCUGAUGUAUACUAUACAAUUGAUGAAGGAUUUAGCAAUGUUCGAAUAUAUGAGAAUUUCUGAA